GCCUGGGACCGGCGCCCCGGGGAUGCCGCGGGCGGCGCCACCGACCUCCCGGCGGGCCUCGCCACCGGAUCGCGCGGCAGGCACAAGGUCAUGGCCUUCGUCGGGAUCUUCACCGGGUUCGGCUCCGUCGGCCGCCGCCGCGCGCUCAGGCGGACAUGGCUCCCCUCCGAUCGGCAGGGUCUCCUUCGGUUGGAGGAAGCUACUGGUCUGGCAUUCAGAUUUGUGAUCGGCAAAAGCAAUGACAAGUCUAAGAUGGCAGCUCUUGAAAGAGAGGUUGAAGAAUAUGAUGAUUUUGUGCUUUUAGAUCUUGAGGAGGAGUAUAGCAAGCUUCCAUACAAAACGUUAGCAUUCUUUAAGGCUGCCUAUGCGUUGUUCGAUUCUGAUUUCUAUGUUAAAGCUGAUGAUGACAUUUACUUGAGACCAGAUAGACUCUCCUUGCUCUUGGCCAAGGAACGUACACAUACACAAACAUACAUUGGAUGCAUGAAGAAGGGGCCUGUUUUUACUGAUCCCAAAUUGAAAUGGGUAUGA
rnacentral:rRNA from 1 species